UAGAGUUUGAUCCUGGCUCAGAUUGAACGCUGGCGGCAUGCCUUACACAUGCAAGUCGAACGGCAGCACGGGAGCAAUCCUGGUGGCGAGUGGCGAACGGGUGAGUAAUAUAUCGGAACGUGCCCAGUCGUGGGGGAUAACGCAGCGAAAGCUGUGCUAAUACCGCAUACGAUCUCUGGAUGAAAGCGGGGGACUCGCAAGAGCCUCGCGCGAUUGGAGCGGCCGAUAUCAGAUUAGCUAGUUGGUGGGGUAAAAGCUCACCAAGGCGACGAUCUGUAGCUGGUCUGAGAGGACGACCAGCCACACUGGAACUGAGACACGGUCCAGACUCCUACGGGAGGCAGCAGUGGGGAAUUUUGGACAAUGGGCGCAAGCCUGAUCCAGCAAUGCCGCGUGCAGGAUGAAGGCCUUCGGGUUGUAAACUGCUUUUGUACGGAACGAAACGGCUCUUUCUAAUAAAGAGAGCUACUGACGGUACCGUAAGAAUAAGCACCGGCUAACUACGUGCCAGCAGCCGCGGUAAUACGUAGGGUGCGAGCGUUAAUCGGAAUUACUGGGCGUAAAGCGUGCGCAGGCGGUGAUGUAAGACAGAUGUGAAAUCCCCGGGCUCAACCUGGGACCUGCAUUUGUGACUGCAUCGCUAGAGUACGGUAGAGGGGGGAUGGAAUUCCGCGUGUAGCAGUGAAAUGCGUAGAUAUGCGGAGGAACACCGAUGGCGAAAGCAAUCCCCUGGACCUGUACUGACGCUCAUGCACGAAAGCGUGGGGAGCAAACAGGAUUAGAUACCCUGGUAGUCCACGCCCUAAACGAUGUCAACUGGGUUGUUGGGUCUUUACUGACUCAGUAACGAAGCUAACGCGUGAAGUUGAC
rnacentral:rRNA from 1 species